GGCUUCUUCGGAGGCCAGGUAGUGGCAAACGGGUGAGCAACACGUGGGGAUCUGCCCAGUAGUGGGGAACAACUCCUCGAAAGAGGAGCUAAUACCGCAUACGGUACUUGUGGAGACACAGGCUACUAAAGUCCGAAAGGAUGCUAUUGGAGGAACCUGCGGCUGAUUAGCUAGUUGGUGGGGUAAAGGCUCACCAAGGCGAUGAUCAGUAGCUGGUCUGAGAGGAUGGACAGCCACACUGGGACUGAGAUACGGCCCAGACUCCUACGGGAGGCAGCAGCAAGGAAUUUUCGUCAAUGGGGGCAACCCUGAACGAGCAACGCCGCGUGGGCGAAGAAGUCCUUCGGGAUGUAAAGCCCUUUUCCCUACGAAGAAAGAAAGACGGUAGUAGGGGAAUAAGCAUCGGCUAACUACGUGCCAGCAGCCGCGGUAAUACGUAGGAUGCAAGCGUUGUCCGGAAUUAUUGGGCGUAAAGAGCGCGCAGGCGGUUUGACAAGUCAGAUGUGAAAUAGCCGGGCUUAACCCGGAGGGGUCAUUUG
rnacentral:rRNA from 1 species